UUCUCUUGAAGUUGAUGGUGGAAUCUGCUAAUGUACUGCGAUAACUAGGACAUCAACUGUGAAUUUAGAUGAAGAUAUCAGAGAUGAUUUUUGCCAGUUUUGUAUUUUGUGGCAGCUGUAGAAGUAACAACUGGAUCUUUUAUUAUCUUGGUUGUCACUUGUUGCCCUGUUUACACUAGCAGUUGUCUGUCCAUUGUUUUGCUACAGCAUUGCAUAGCCUGUGUGAACAAGGAGGCACCUAGGGCUCCCUUGCCCUACUGUAGUAUUCAACUGCUUGAGCAUCAGGAAGAAGCAUAUUGAGUAAUAUGAAAGCUAGUCAUGAUAAAAUGUUCUGUGCCAGUUAACUAACUUGUCGCAAACUGAGAGGGUCAAAAUCCUGAAACUGAGAGACCUUGUUUCAUCUCUAAAAUCACAAAUCGCUACGCGUGUAGGCCAAGAUGUCAGCUCUGUUCAACAUUGCAUGUCCCAGUGGUUGUGAGACCAACGAUGAACUGGAAUGACAGCAAGAGGUGCACAGGGGAGAACCCGUCCAAUUUGAAGAACGGCGUGAAGGGAUCCAUUCUGUCCUGCAAGUAAAAUUGGACUUUAUGAACA